CCCGGCGUACUUAAGCAUAUCAAUAAGCGGAGGAAAAGAAACCAACAGGGAUUGCCUCAGUAACGGCGAGUGAAGCGGCAACAGCUCAAAUUUGAAAUCUGGCCUCUUUGGGGUCCGAGUUGUAAUUUGUAGAGGAUGUUUCGGGUACCGCCUCGGUCUAAAUUUCUUGGAACAGAAUGUCAAAGAGGGUGAGAAUCCCGUCUUGGAUCGGCGGUAGGGCCCAUGUGAAACUCCUUCGACGAGUCGAGUUGUUUGGGAAUGCAGCUCAAAAUGGGUGGUAUAUUUCAUCUAAAGCUAAAUAUUGGCCAGAGACCGAUAGCGCACAAGUAGAGUGAUCGAAAGAUGAAAAGCACUUUGAAAAGAGAGUUAAACAGUAUGUGAAAUUGUUGAAAGGGAAGCGCUUGCAACCAGACUUGAGCGCGGCGGUUCCCCCUUCCUUUUGGCUGGGUUACUCCGCCGCGUCCAGGCCAACAUCGGUUCUGGGGGUCGGUUAAAGGCCCUGGGAAUGUAUCUACCCUUCGGGCGUAGACUUAUAGCCCAGGGUGUCAUGCGGCCUCCCGGGACCGAGGAACGCGCUUCGGCUCGGAUGUUGGCGUAAUGGUUGUCAGCGACCCGUCUUGAAACACGGACCAAGGAGUCUAACAUCUAUGCGAGUGUUUGGGUGUCAAACCCGGAACGCGAAAUGAAAGUGAACGGAGGUAGGAAGCUUCGGCUGCACUAUCGACCGAUCCUGAUGUCUUCGGAUGGAUUUGAGUAAGAGCAUAGCUGUUGGGACCCGAAAGAUGGUGAACUAUGCCUGAAUAGGGUGAAGCCAGAGGAAACUCUGGUGGAGGCUCGCAGCGGUUCUGACGUGCAAAUCGAUCGUCAAAUUUGGGUAUAGGGGCGAAAGACUAAUCGAACCAU
rnacentral:rRNA from 1 species